GCCUGCUCCUGAUUGCAGCGGCAUCCUUUUAUGUGCCAACUGUUUAAUUUUAAUUGAAGAACAAUUUUGAUUAAAAAGCGCACUUUUAAACACAACCAAAACUUAUUACACAUAAAAGAUAUAGCGGAAAGCAGGAAGAAAC
rnacentral:sRNA from 1 species